ensembl:lncRNA PROX1-AS1 PROX1 antisense RNA 1
UUAUUUAAAGAGCUAAGAGCUAAUUUGAAAAUACAUCUUUGAAAGGACAACAAAAAUGAGAUGUGAAAAAAAUGGAUGAAGAUUCUUAAUUAGUCCAUUAUUUGACACGCACGAUUUAACAUGUGUUCUUGUCUUGUUCGCUGAUUCUGACUGUGCCCCAGCCUCCUUGAUUUGAAGACCAUGGAUAACUUCAUUCUCAGUGGUGAUUCUGUUCCUUCUCAGUGCAUUUGGUUUGAUCAGCCUUCCCCUGACACUGCAUCAGUGACUUUUCAGGUCUCAAUUCCUACCCAUUUAAACAUAACUCUUAAGGAAGCAUUGACAGCAUCUUACCUUAUUUUUGUUCCUGUCUGCUGGACAUAUUUCUGCCUGGAUGCCCUGCUUACCCAGCCUGGCACUAAGGCAAAACCUAAGUAGCCCUUCCUGUUCUCAUCUGUCUUGAACUCCUUGAGGUUAGUGCAGAUGGAGGCAAGAUCAGGAGUUCGUGAUCACAGAGACACCAGCAGCAUCAACCCACAAUCUUGGGCCUCUGGAAUGUCAGUGACAAACUAGGUUCCAAGUAUAUAUAGGCAACACAAAGAGAGAACCAUUCUCUGCUUUCAAUAGGACAGAAGAGCUCCUUGGCACUGGAUGCCUCCGGGUCUGGUUGAGAGAGGAAUGGUUAGGAGACUGUUCUGAGGAUACGCAGACAUCAUCCAAAGCUUCCUACAUUCAGAUGAGGACAGAGGUUGGGCCAGAGCUUUGUAAGCUUGUUACCUAAGGAUGGUUCUGACCAUGUAAGCAGAUCACAGAAG